GACGAACGCUGGCGGCGUGCUUAACACAUGCAAGUCGAACGCUGAAGCCAUGGCUUUUGUUGGGUUGGAUGAGUGGCGGACGGGUGAGUAACACGUGAGUAACCUGCCCUCUUCUUUGGGAUAACGCCCGGAAACGGGUGCUAAUACCGGAUAUUCACUUGCCUUCGCAUGGGGGUUGGUGGAAAGGGUUGUUCUGGUGGGGGAUGGGCGCGCGGCCUAUUCGCUUGUUGGUGGGGUGAUGGCCUACCUAGGGUUUGACGGGUAGCUGGCCGGGGAGGGUGACCGGGGAAAUUAGGAAUGGGAUACGGCCCAGACGGAUACGGCAGGCAGCAGUGUGGAAUAAUGCACGAUAGGCGAACGCAGGAUGCAGCGGCGAGGGGUGAGGGAUUGAGGACUUUGGGAUGUAAUCAUCUUUCGAUAAUGAAUAUGCCGCAAAUGUGGGUUGUGGUGAGGGUAGUGGGUCAAGAAGCGCUGGCUAACUACGUG
rnacentral:rRNA from 1 species